rnacentral:lncRNA from 1 species
GUUCAUCCGGUUCUUAUUUGUUUAUAUUUUUCCAUUUCUGGUGUUGGAGGUUAAACACAGAGCCUCAUACAUGCUGAACACACUCGGUCCAGCUAAACCACACUGUCUGCAUGUUCAUUGAAAACUAUGUGGCAUAUGCCUUAAAUCCCAGCAGGUGGAUCUCUUUGAGUUCAGGGCCAGCCUGGUCAACAGAGUGAGUUUCAGGAUAGCCGGGGCUACACAGAGAAACUCUGUCUCAAAAAAACAAAAAACAAAAAGAAAGAAAGAAACACAGAAAACUACAACUCUUUGCUCUUCUCUCUUCAUGCUAGCUAUCAUUAAUCGUGUCCUUGGUUCUUUUUCUCACCUUGGACAUGGGCCACCUUUGUCCAAUGGUGUUACCCAUCCAGCAGACAGGAACUCCCUGCCCAUUUCUCCUAGGUCUGAAGAGGAUUGAGUGUAUACAAGUGGACAAGGAAACUUCAGCCUGGGCUGAGAUGCUUCGGGGACACGUACCUAACGUAAGGACAUUUGCUUUUUAUUUCUCUUCUUUGGACCAGAGUAGAUCGACAACCCCUGCCUCCAGUAAGCAUCCUGUUUCUGUAAGGCCAUGUUCAGCCACCAGGGGGCAGGGGCGAGCAGGACUUAGUGCCUCUGCGCCUGGCCGGCCACCUUGUCCCUCCAGGUUCCAGAUCUGCCGCAGAGGGCCCUGAAGUUGGCAAGGUGCACGGGAGAAGGGUGGUGGCGGUCCAUUCUUGUCCUAAAGCGCAAAGAUCAAAUGUGGAAGGAGAAUCUCAAGAAGGCUGCGAAGCUGGGGAGCCCUGCAGUGCCACAGGCUGGGAGGCCCACCAGGUUCUACCCUCUGGUUGCAGUGACUCCUCGGGGCUGAUGUCCAGCCUUACCUCUCGUGAUGGUGGUAGAGGCUUUGUACUGGUGGGAUGCAGGCUGUUGAGUCAAGUUGGCCGGUGGCCACUACGCCAGUGAGCUCCUGAGCCCGCCUUUGCCUGCAGAGGAAUCAGAUCUCAACCUGUCCCUCCUUCAGGGUGAGUCUGGUGACCAGGGCCUUGUGAGCCUCCUGGCCAGGAUAGCAGAUACCAAUCCAUCUUAAAAUGUUUCUGUAACUCUCAGAAGUAUUGCUUCUUCCAGAUGAACUCCUGGCCAUGGAGACCUGGAAUACAAGAGUCAUUCCUAAUUCUACUGUACAGGCUACAACUGUGACAAGGUCUAGCCUUUUCUGGAGGCCUGGAGCAGAUCUUCAAAACCUCAGCUGGAGGAUUGCAUCCUGCUAGCCCUGGCUGGCUUGGAACUCACAGAGAGUCA